UCUGAGUAGUUUAUUGGAGAGACGAGUCUCACAGACUUUCCUGCUCUGGCUGGCUUUGAACCUCAAUCCUCAGCUCCCAGCCUCAUGAUGACAAGUGUGAGCCACUGAUACCCAGCCUAGUUCGUUUGCUAAGUGUUACUUGGUCUUAGAAUUGAUAAAAUUGUUUUUUUUUCUAGGCUCAUAA